CCCUAACUUCAGCUUCUUCACAGUGGGAGUUUUGAAGGCAGAACAGCCCUACAUUGGGGCAUCAUCCUAAAAGUUUUGAGAAGGGAAAUGGCAUCUGAUGGACAGGUACCCAGAGUUGAAGCUCCCUCUGAUUCCAGCACCAGUCUAACCCCAUGUUCCUGAAGCAGUUUCUUUACCUUUAUUCUAACCAGAGUGAUCUACCUUUUGCCUCAAUGAAGAUACAAAGCAGUGUUAGUUCAUGGAAUGAAUGACUUCAAUAAAGUAAACACACACAAGAUGCAAAUGAGAACUACUGGCCUUGGUUCAAGAUGACCUGAGUUUGAAUCUUAGUACUGCCACAGAAGGGUUCUGGCAAGCUGGUCAACAAAGCUUACAAUGCAAAGAUCCGUCUCAAGUGCCCAUUAUUUUCUCCUUGCAGAUCCUCACUUGGUUUUUGCUAUUCUCAUAACAAAUGUAGGAAUUGUACUACAUGGUUUCUAAUACUCUAUACACCUCUAAAAGUCUGCAAAACUGUGAUUUGAUCCUGAUGGGUCCAUAAUUCCAGACUUGGCAUAGUUUUUGUCUAUGAACCACUUGGUUAGAAAGGCAUUUUUUUCAAAUGGUACCAGAGCAGUAGACAUCACUGCUUUCCCCAUUAUAUUGAAGGAGACUCUUCUGCAUAGUUUCUUCUACAAAUUAAAACAAGUCAGUAAAAGGCUUUCUUGUUGGUGAAACGAAUUUUGGCUUUUAGUCACCCAUUCCAAAGGAUUCAAAAUCAUGGACUUGGAACUAUUUUGAAUAAGGAAUAAAAUGAAACUGUUCUGGUUUAUUAAAUAAAAUGA